rnacentral:rRNA from 1 species
AUUGAACGCUGGCGGCAGGCUUAACACAUGCAAGUCGAGCGGAGAGAGGUAGCUUGCUACUGAUCUUAGCGGCGGACGGGUGAGUAAUGCUUAGGAAUCUGCCUAUUAGUGGGGGACAACAUUUCGAAAGGAAUGCUAAUACCGCAUACGUCCUACGGGAGGAAGCAGGGGAUCUUCGGACCUUGCGCUAAUAGAUGAGCCUAAGUCGGAUUAGCGAGUUGGUGGGGUAAAGGCCUACCAAGGCGACGAUCUGUAGCGGGUCUGAGAGGAUGAUCCGCCACACUGGGACUGAGACACGGCCCAGACUCCUACGGGAGGCAGCAGUGGGGAAUAUUGGACAAUGGGCGGAAGCCUGAUCCAGCCAUGCCGCGUGUGUGAAGAAGGCCUUAUGGUUGUAAAGCACUUUAAGCGAGGAGGAGGCUACUUUAGUUAAUACCUAGAGAUAGUGGACGUUACUCGCAGAAUAAGCACCGGCUAACUCUGUGCCAGCCGCCGCAGUAA